rnacentral:rRNA from 1 species
UUUUACCUACGGGGGCAGCAGUGAGGAAUAUUGGUCAAUGGGAGAGAUCCUGAACCAGCCAAGCCGCGUGAGGGAAGACGGCCCUAUGGGUUGUAAACCUCUUUUGUCGGAGAACAAAACCCGGGACGUGUCCCGGACUGCGUGUAUCCGAAGAAAAAGCAUCGGCUAACUACGUGCCAGCAGCCGCGGUAAUACGUAGGGGGCAAGCGUUAUCCGGAUUUACUGGGUGUAAAGGGAGCGUAGACGGUGCGCCAAGUCUGGAGUGAAAUGCCGCAGCUUAACUGCGGAACUGCUUUGGAAACUGG